rnacentral:rRNA from 1 species
UACGUAGGGGGCCAGCGUUGCUCGGAAUUACUGGGCGUAAAGGGUCUGUAGGCGGUGUGGCAAGUCGGGAGUGAAAUACUGAGGCUUAACCUCAGCACUGCUUCCGAAACUGCCAUGCUCGAGUGUGGGAGAGGCGAGUGGAAUUGCCGGUGUAGCGGUGAAAUGCGUAGAUAUCGGCAGGAACACCAGUGGCGAAAGCGGCUCGCUGGACCACAACUGACGCUGAGAGACGAAAGCUAGGGGAGCAAACAGG